rnacentral:rRNA from 1 species
UACGGGGGGGGGGCAAGCGUUGUUCGGAAUUACUGGGCGUAAAGGGCGCGUAGGCGGCCUGUUAAGUCGAACGUGAAAUCCCCGGGCUCAACCCGGGAACUGCGUCCGAUACUGGCAGGCUUGAAUCCGGGAGAGGGAUGUGGAAUUCCAGGUGUAGCGGCGAAAUGCGUAGAUAUCUGGAGGAACACCGGUGGCGAAGGCGGCGAUCCUGGCCGGGUAAU